rnacentral:sRNA from 1 species
UAUUGGAGAAUCGUCACCCAGAAUUUUAGGGCCUAGGCUCUGUUGCUCUGUUUCCUGUCUGGAUGGUUUAAAGGGAAGAGUGUGCUCCACAUAUGGUCAUGGUUUCACACAGCCCUGGAGGAACCUGAGGUCUGAGCAUGUGAAUCCUAGUUCCUACUUACUUUGUUUUCCAGAAAUUAUUAACCAAGGCCAUCCCUGUGGAUCUUAUUAGAACCAGGUGCAGGCGAUCCACUUACUUAAGGAAACUUUCCCAUAACUGAGUGUACCGGCGAGACCAGGAUUGAAGGGUCAAGUUCAUAGGAGAUAUUCAGAGGAGGUUCGAGGCUGUCUGGCAGUUGACCUGUCUCAGUCUGAUGAACAGAAGAGGGCGGUGGAAAGUAGAUUUAAAUAGGCCAGAGUGAAGUUGUAGAAGAGCUGAUGGACUCUAGCGACAAGAAGAAAGACAGGAAGCCAGAAGAAGCCAGGCUGCCAGUGCCUGCCAAUCACGUGCUGGGCUGAGCAGUUCGUAAACAUUAAAGAGUUUGACUGGCAGCUCCCCUUAGAUAAGAACACAUUCAUCCUGCUGGGUGCAGUCCAAUCUACAUGUGCAGACAGAAGCAAUGGAUCCCGCUGAUGCACUGUGGCCAGACAAGAUCAUCUCUUCUGAGGGCAGGUUGGGUGGAGGUGUGGGAGCCGGAGGAACUAAUAAAGGAAGAAAGGAAAAG